ACUUACCGUGAUUACCCCGACUGAGAACCAAAAUGUGCCAAUGUGCCUGUGACCGGGGGAAAACAGACUCCUUUGCUUUUUACCUCAGACACGCUUUAUAUUCGUUCCUAAGGGAGGUCGGUGUCGUGUAGCCGUGUAAGAAAAGGAGCUGUAACUGGAGAGCUCUCACAUACUACAUUGCCUGGUAACUUCCCUAUUUUACUCCUGGCUGGUGGAGAAGCAGAACGCCUGCAAGAAAGAGCAGACAGAUGGAGGCUGGAUCCAGCAAAGGCAUUCUUCGUUUUGAAAACCAGGACCGCUCAGGGACGUUUUCGCCCAGAGGAAACCGGCACACGUAUCACACCGCUAGAAUACUUUUUUGUCAAAAGACCGACUGCAUUUGCGGUGACUGCUCUGGGGUCUUUUUUUUUUCUUCAGAAACACCUCAAAGGCCAGUCGUCCUAUAGUGGCAGCUGACGAGUUUAUGGUGAGAUAAGUCAACACGUAGAGGACGGCACAGAAAAGGGCUCAAACAGGCAAACACAUCUGCAGCGCAAUUGUCGUCAUUCGAAACGUCAUUGAAAACAAAUUAGAGCACAAAACACUGAAGAAUGUGAGUCAUUAAGCCAGACCUAAGAAAAUUUUAGAACACAUUUUCAAACACAACCUGUAAAAGGUUCAAGUAAACAGCAAGCAAACUGUCACAAAAUGGUAGUUGCAUUAGAAAAUUUUUCCCUUAUGCACAUAUACAGAAUGGAGAAAGCAACUGACAACAUAGUUUAAAUUGUCAGCUUAUAUAGUAGAAACAAAACGUUCUGAGAAUGUUCUAUGAUUGUGUGAGUGUUUUUUUUCGAUGCCACAGGGAGAAAAAAAACUAUGCACGACUAGUAGUUUGGGUUCUUAGCUUUCCGCAAGUCAAGAAAGAAACCUGUGUGUCAGAGAGGCCCAUUGUACAGAGUCUGUUUUCAGACAUAGUUCUCUGCAGCUAUUUUAGCACCUCUCCACGGGAAUGUGUUCCAGCUCUGCAUGAAAGCCCCAUGGACUGAACACUGCCUCCAACUCGGAUGGUGUUACGAAGCAUUUCACAUAAUGAUGAGCGUCGACUGCUUGUCAGAUGUGCAGCCUAUCAAGUUACCUUUUGCAACCCACACCAGGGGCACUGCCACUGAAGUGUGGACACAUCUGAUGCAUGUGUUCAUAAACCUGUGACUGCUUUUGACUCGACAAGCCACACAGGACUUCAAGACAGUGACGCAUCAGCUAUUCAAAAAGAGGCAUAUCUCUCACUGAUUACAACUGGCCACCUGUGGGAGCAGUAGAUGCAACAGAAGCCUGAGAAUUCUCAGUUGGUUUGAACCCUAGCCAAUUGUACUCUGCUACUGUACAUAGCCGGUUAAUGACAUGAUGCAGGCUAUUGCCCACAUUGCCUAGAUUAUAUCACCAGGCCUGUGCUCAGUGCCACUUUGGUGACUGUGUAAGGGCUGAACUGGGUAAGUGGAUUCUUCAGACACAUUCAUAAUGGAACCCUGCUGUUAUACCCUUAAGCAAGGUGCUUUUAGCUCUACAGCUCAAGUGAAAUCCCAGCUGUUUAGAAAGGUACACAAUGUGCAAGACUGUUUUCAUUAGAAGGUUCCCACAGAUACGGAGACAUGUUGAGCAAGUGUAAAACGGAUGCACAUAAAUAGUUUAUUAUCUGGCCAGCUACCUGUAACCUGUGCAAAACAGAACCUCUCAAAAUAAAUCCAUAUAAAUAUAUGUAACCUAUAAAAUAUCUAAAUGGUUUUUUUUUCUAUCA